UACGGGGGGGGCAAGCGUUGUUCGGAAUUACUGGGCGUAAAGGGCUCGUAGGUGGCCAACUAAGUCAGACGUGAAAUCCCUCGGCUUAACCGGGGAACUGCAUCUGAUACUGGAUGGCUUGAGAUUGGGAGAGGGAUGCGGAAUUCCAGGUGUAGCGGUGAAAUGCGUAGAUAUCGGGAGGAACACCUGUGGCGAAAGCGGCUCUCUGGACCACAACUGACGCUGAGGCGCGAAAGCUAGGGGAGCAAACAGG
rnacentral:rRNA from 1 species